GUUUCAUCAUUCAUAAAUGUGCGCUAGUUAUUGACUCUUAACACUUUCUGAGUAUCAUUGAAUAGUGUUUUUACAUCUAGUGUCAGAGGCUGUCAGGUAUUCAACUUUGUCAGAUUUCCUUUUGUUGUUCCAUAUAACUUCUCAAAGUGACAAGCUGUGGUCAUGACAAGAUCAACACAUUUAUUUUGUCCCUGGAUAGGUCGUUUUUGUUUAGCAGCCAGAGAUAUACUGUAACAUGAUGCUAACCUGUCUGAUGUUUGGCUUGUAACAGGAAGGAGGUGGAGGCCCUGGAAGUGGAACUGAACUCUGAGCAUGCUCAGAAGGUGGCAGAGCUGGAGCAGACCAUGAAGCAGAAACUGAGAGAACGACAGAAAGUGUACGAGGAAGCCUUCAACCAAGACGUGCAGCAAUACCUGUCCACUGGAUACCUGCAGCACAGAGAGCAAGCAGGAACAGACGUGCGUGUUCUGGAUCAGAUGAC